rnacentral:rRNA from 1 species
UACGGAGGGUGCAAACGUUGCUCGGAAUUAUUGGGCGUAAAGCGCACGUAGGCGGCCCGUUAAGUCGGAUGUGAAAUCCCUCGGCUCAACCGAGGAAGUGCAUCCGAAACUGGCAGGCUUGAGUACGGAAGAGGGUCUCGGAAUUCCCGGUGUAGAGGUGAAAUUCGUAGAUAUCGGGAGGAACACCAGUGGCGAAGGCGGAGACCUGGGCCGAUACUGACGCUGAGGUGCGAAAGCGUGGGGAGCAAAC